AGAGCAAACGGUGGAUGCCUUGGCAUCUGGAGCCGAAGAAGGACGUCGUAAUCUGCGAUAAGCCUCGGGGAGUUGAUAAACGAGCUAUGAUCCGAGGAUUUCCGAAUGGGGAAACCCCGCCAGGGCGCGUGCGUGCCUGGUGACUCCCGCCUGAAUAUAUAGGGCGGGUAGAGGGAACGUGGGGAAGUGAAACAUCUCAGUACCCACAGGAAGAGAAAACAACAUGUGAUUCCGGGAGUAGUGGCGAGCGAAACCGGAAGAGGCUAAACCUAGCGUGUGUGAUACCUGGCAGGGGUUGCACGUUGGGGGUUGUGGGACAUGCCGUGAGACGCUGCUGAGUCUCGAGCGUGAGAGUGAAGCUAUAGGAGAACGCCUUGGAAGGGGCGGCCGGAGAGGGUGAGAGCCCCGUAUCUGAAAUGGUUUUACCGCGUGGUGUGUAUCCCAAGUAGCACGGGGCCCGAGAAAUCCCGUGUGAAUCUGUCAGGACCACCUGAUAAGCCUAAAUACUCCCAGAUGACCGAUAGCGGACUAGUACCGUGAGGGAAAGGUGAAAAGUACCCCGGGAGGGGAGUGAAAUAGUACCUGAAACCGUUUGCUUACAAUCCGUUGGAGCACCCUUGUAGGUGUGACAGCGUGCCUUUUGAAGAAUGAGCCUGCGAGUUAGCGAUAUGUGGCGAGGUUAACCCGUGUGGGGUAGCCGUAGCGAAAGCGAGUCUGAAUAGGGCGAUUCAGUCGCAUGUCCUAGACCCGAAGCGAAGUGAUCUAUCCAUGGCCAGGUUGAAGCGACGGUAAGACGUCGUGGAGGACCGAACCCACUUAGGUUGAAAACUGAGGGGAUGAGCUGUGGAUAGGGGUGAAAGGCCAAUCAAACUUCGUGAUAGCUGGUUCUCUCCGAAAUGCAUUUAGGUGCAGCGUUGCGUGUUUCUUGCCGGAGGUAGAGCUACUGGAUGGCCGAUGGGCCCUACAAGGUUACUGACGUCAGCUAAACUCCGAAUGCCGGUAAGUGAGAGCGCAGCAGUGAGACUGUGGGGGAUAAGCUUCAUAGUCGAGAGGGAAACAACCCAGAUCACCAACUAAGGUCCCAAAGCGCGUGCUAAGUGGAAAAGGAUGUGGAGUUGCUGUGACAACCAGGAGGUUGGCUUAGAAGCAGCCACCCUUGAAAGAGUGCGUAAUAGCUCACUGGUCAAGUGAUUCCGCGCCGACAAUGUAACGGGGCUCAAGCACGCCACCGAAGUUGUGGCAUUCGUACUGAGGCAAGCCUUCGUGGUUCAGCCGUAUGGAUGGGUAGGAGAGCGUCGUGUGGCGAGUGAAGCGGCGGAGUGAUCCAGUCGUGGAUGCCACACGAGUGAGAAUGCAGGCAUGAGUAGCGAAAGACGGGUGAGAAACCCGUCCUCCGGAAGACCAAGGGUUCCAGGGUCAAGCUAAUCUGCCCUGGGUAAGUCGGGACCUAAGGCGAGGCCGACAGGCGUAGUCGAUGGACAACGGGUUGAUAUUCCCGUACCGGCGAAGAACCGUCAAACGCUGAUCCAGGAGUGCUAAGCAGGUGAAGCAUCCUUUGAGCCUUCGGGUUCUGUGGGUGUGGAGGUUGCGAACCCGAUCUGGUGAGGUGAGCGUAUUAACAGGUGUGACGCAGGAAGGUAGCUGGUCCCGGGCGAUGGUUGUCCCGGGCUAAGCAUGUAGCCCGUCUCUGAGUAAUAUUUAGAGGCUUUGGGUGAGAUGUGAUGGGGACCCGUAUGGGGAAGUCAGUGAUCCUAUGCUGCCGAGAAAAGCAUCGACGCGAGGUUUUAGCCGCCCGUACCCCAAACCGACUCAGGUGGUCAGGUAGAGAAUACUAAGGAGAUCGAGAGAAUCGUGGUGAAGGAACUCGGCAAAAUGCCCCCGUAACUUCGGGAGAAGGGGGGCCAUCCACUUAUACCAACUUGCUUGGGAAAGGGUGUGGUGGCCGCAGAGACCAGUGGGAAGCGACUGUUUACUAAAAACACAGGUCCGUGCUAACACGCAAGUGGACGUAUACGGACUGACGCCUGCCCGGUGCUGGAAGGUUAAGAGGAGAGGUUAGACUUCGGUCGAAGCUUUGAAUUUAAGCCCCAGUAAACGGCGGUGGUAACUAUAACCAUCCUAAGGUAGCGAAAUUCCUUGUCGGGUAAGUUCCGACCUGCACGAAUGGCGUAACGACUUCCCAGCUGUCUCCACCAUGAACUCGGCGAAAUUGCAUUACGAGUAAAGAUGCUCGUUACGCGCAGCAGGACGGAAAGACCCCGUGACCUUUACUACAGCUUGGUAUUGGUAUUCGGUGUGACUUGUGUAGGAUAGGUGGGAGACUGUGAAGCGGGCACGCCAGUGUUCGUGGAGUCAUUGUUGAAAUACCACUCUGGUCAUUCUGGAUAUCUAACUACGGACCCUGAUCGGGUCUUGGGACAGUGCCUGGUGGGUAGUUUAACUGGGGCGGUUGCCUCCCAAAAAGUAACGGAGGCGCCCAAAGGUUCCCUCAACCUGGUUGGCAAUCAGGUGGCGAGUGUAAGUGCACAAGGGAGCUUGACUGUGAGACUGACAGGUCGAGCAGGGACGAAAGUCGGGACUAGUGAUCCGGCAGUGGCUUGUGGAAGCGCUGUCGCUCAACGGAUAAAAGGUACCUCGGGGAUAACAGGCUGAUCUUGCCCAAGAGUCCAUAUCGACGGCAUGGUUUGGCACCUCGAUGUCGGCUCGUCGCAUCCUGGGGCUGGAGUUGGUCCCAAGGGUUGGGCUGUUCGCCCAUUAAAGCGGUACGCGAGCUGGGUUUAGAACGUCGUGAGACAGUUCGGUCCCUAUCCGCUGCGCGCGUUGGAAAUUUGAGAGGAUCUGACCCUAGUACGAGAGGACCGGGUUGGACGAACCUCUGGUGUGCCAGUUGUUCUGCCAAGGGCAUGGCUGGUUGGCUACGUUCGGGAUGGAUAACCGCUGAAAGCAUCUAAGCGGGAAGCCGGCCUCGAGAUGAGAUUUCCGUACACCUUGUGUGUGUGAGGCUCCCAGUAGACGACUGGGUUGAUAGGCCAGAUGUGGAAGUGGGGUAACCCAUGGAGCUGACUGGUACUAAUAAGCCGAUGACUUGAUUUACACUUUCAGAAUUUCCUGUUGUGAUUGUUCGCGUCCACUUUGUGGUUCUUGACGUACGGCCAAGAACCCGCCACCGGCCCUGCUGUGGGGUGUGGGUGGUGAUGGUCGCCGUAUAUGUGGCCGAUCACACCGGAAAUGACGGUCUCGUAAAAAUCUCUCACUCCUACAUCCUAAGUAAUGAUAUCCUAACGCCCCACCUCUGCAGAACUACCGCACGCUCCUACGACCCGGGUUCUGCGGCCACCCCGAAAUACCAGUCUCUAUACAUCCGAAUAGUUCCAUGCCUGCAAACAGAUUGGGCGGGCGGGUGACGUUUUAUACUCGCGUAGUACGGCUUCCGGCAUCGCUGGUGAUCGGUGCAGUCGCCGGUCGCAACCUCUCGGGCCUCACGUCGU
rnacentral:rRNA from 14 species